rnacentral:rRNA from 1 species
ACGCCCGCGGUAUCCUGACCGUGCAAAGGUAGCAUAAUCACUUGCCUAUUAAUUGUAGGCUAGAAUGAAGGGACAAACGAGAAUACACCUGUCUCCUUUAAGCCCUUAAAAAUUUAUCUUUAAGUGAAGAAGCUUAAAUUCAUAUGCAGGACAAGAAGACCCUAUAGAGCUUUACCUAAAAUCUACAUAAAUAGUAGCUAGCGGUUCGGUUGGGGCGACCGGGGGACAUUCAUCACCCCCAAACUAAAAGAUAUACCUAUCCCACCAAAGAUCCUUACUCAAGAUCAAAGAAUCAAGCUACCUUAGGGAUAACAGGCUAAUCCUCUUAGAGAGCCUUUAUCGACAAGAGGGGUUGGCACCUCGAUGUUGGCUU